rnacentral:rRNA from 1 species
AUAGCGUAUAUUAAAGUUGUUGCAGUUAAAAAGCUCGUAGUUGAACUUCAGACCUGGCUGGGCGGUCCGCCUCACGGCGAGUACUGUCUGGCUGGGCCUUACCUCUUGGUGAACCGGCGUGCCCUUUAUUGGUGUGCUGCGGGGAACCAGGACUUUUACCUUGAGAAAAUUAGAGUGUUCAAAGCAGGCUUAUGCCUGAAUACAUUAGCAUGGAAUAAUAGAAUAGGACGUGUGGUUCUAUUUUGUUGGUUUCUAGAAUCGCCGUAAUGAUUAAUAGGGAUAGUUGGGGGCAUUGGUAUUCAGUCGCUAGAGGUGAAAUUCUUGGAUUGACUGAAGACCGACUACUG